GGGCCAUUGAACUAAGAACAUAGCUCAGUGGUAGAACAUCUGCUUUACAUUCAGAAGAUACCAGAUUCAAUCCCUGAUGUGUCCA